AGAGUGGAGCCUGGGAGCCCAACCGACAGCACAGACACCGGAGCCUGGGACUUGGGAGUCCUGUCUGCCUGGAGCUUUGGAAACUAGACUGAGGCCAAUGGAGGCUUGGUGAAACCAACAGACACAGUUCGCCCAGGCAUUCAAAGGGCUCGUUGGGUAGAUGAACCUGCAGCAGGGCAGACCCUAGACCUCCCCAUCCCACGUGUGGCUGUUCUGUGUUGUGGACGUGCGCUGACAUCACCCUCCUGGCCACGAACGCUCCUCCUGUCACUCGUCGCUGCAUAGCCCCAGAUCUGCAUCAGCCAGAAUCUUGUGGUCACAGGCCACAGGAACUGACUCUGGCUAACUGAAGCAGGAAAACAGUUGAGUGGAACGCUAGCAGGCAGCUCAUGGAUUCAACAGCACUCCCUACCUUCUUUUCUGUGCUGGACCCGCUGGGAUUCUGGAAGCGGCUGAAGUUCACCUGAAGACCACUCCCUCUGGUUGUGGGAGAGGCAGAGGCACCUGAAAACACCUGUGUGCACAGUUCAGGUAGCUGCGAAGGAACUUGUGGCCAACUGUUAGUAACUAUCCCUGCAGAAACCCUGAUUCUUAGCUGGACACUGUCAAGAAGUGUGAAUAUCUGUGAUUUUUCCUAUUUAUAAGCUAACAAAUUGGCCCACGUCAUCGUUGCUGGCAGGAGCUGAGGUUGCUGGGCCAGAGAUGAGGGACGUUUUAUCGUUCACAGCAACAGCAGAACAGUGGCAGCCUCAGUUUCCACAGUGCUUCACAAAGAGACCCAGGUGAUGCCUGAACACACGUGGGUUGCAUUUCAGGAGAGGAACUCAAACAUGGGGAAACCAAAUCUUUUUUAAUGGGCAGCAUGUCCUGCCCUUUGCUCUGGAGGGAGGCUCUAUAUACCUUCUAUGGGUGUUCACUAUCCUG